GCUGUGCUGGGGUGGGGAGUCUUGUUUUGGUGUUUUAGGGAAUCACAGAGAGCCUCCUGGAGCAGAUACCAUUGAAGCUGUGGCUGUGGGAAAUGGGACCAGCCGAGGACACACUGGAGAGCUCUAGACAGGAAGAAGAGCCUGUGACAGCCAGGAGCCAGCAUGAAGUGAGGAAUGCAUCCUGGGAGAUAGCUGCAGUCUGGCUUUGGGAGUUCUAAAAAGAGGAGUGACAAGUCCUGGUUUUGGAGGACAGUGGUGGUUCCAAAUGAAGUUCUGCAGACUGAGUGUGGCCCUAGUCAUCCUUGCUGACCCAUCUGGAUACAUCACCCCCAGGUGUCUGUAAAGGGAGAUUCCCUUUGUUCCUUCAGUUGCCUCUCCAGUAUAAUUCAGCACAGAACAGA